rnacentral:snRNA from 1 species
GUGCUUGCUUUGGCAGCACAUAUACUAAAAUUGGAAUGAUACAGAGAAGACUAGCAUGGCCCCUGAGCGAAGAUGACAUACAAAUUUGUGAAAGAUAUUUCUUU